rnacentral:rRNA from 1 species
UAGGAUUCCCUCAGUAGCUGCGAGCGAACAGGGAAGAGCCCAGCACCGAAUCCCGCGGCCGACACCGGACGCCGGGAAAUGUGGUGUUAGGGAGGAUCCGUUUAUCCCGAGGUCGUGCGGCGCGUCCAAGUCCUUCUUGAACGGGGCCACAGCCCAUAGAGGGUGCCAGGCCCGUAGUGACCGCUGCCGUUCGCGGGAGGAUCCCUCCUCAGAGUCGGGUUGCUUGAGAGUGCAGCCCUAAGUGGGUGGUAAACUCCAUCUAAGGCUAAAUAUGACCACGAGACCGAUAGCGAACAAGUACCGUGAGGGAAAGUUGAAAAGCACUUUGAAGAGAGAGUUCAAGAGUACGUGAAACCGUUCAGGGGUAAACCUGAGAAACCCGAAAGGUCGAAAGGGGAAAUUCAUUCGCGUUUCGGCUUUGGCUGAGGAUAGUCGAGUGACGGACGGCGUCCGCGUCGUACGCACCUUCCGUUCUCCGAACCAUUGUCGAACGCGUGCACUUUUCCCCAAGUAGGACGUCGCGAUCCGUUGGGUGCCGGUCUAAGACCCGUGGAGGAGCCCGUACGGACGGCUUGCCGUUCCGUGCGGACCCGCGGUGUUUCCGGCCGGCUCGCUCGACGGUAUACAGAUGGCGCGGGGCCGCGACUUAAGUUCGCGUCCGGCCCGUGGCAAGCGCGCUCGUGUGUUGGCGAUCGGACCUAGUGCCGGUCCUGGCCCCGAGCGACUGUUGGCUGCGGUGUUCUCGGACAGACCCCGAUGAAACGCCGAUCUGCGACGCUAUAGCUUUGGGUACUUUCAGGACCCGUCUUGAAACACGGACCAAGGAGUCUAGCAUGUGCGCGAGUCAUUGGGACAUGACUAAACCUAAAGGCGCAAUGAAAGUGAAGGUUCGCCUUGCGCGAACCGAGGGAGGAUGGGCGGUUCGCCCUUAAAGCGGCCGCUCCGCACUCCCGGGGCGUCUCGUUCUCAUUGCGAGAAGAGGCGCACCAAGAGCGUACACGCUGGGACCCGAAAGAUGGUGAACUAUGCCUGGUCAGGACGAAGUCAGGGGAAACCCUGAUGGAGGUCCGUAGCGAUUCUGACGUGCAAAUCGAUCGUCGGAACUGGGUAUAGGGGCGAAAGACUAAUCGAACCAUCUAGUAGCUGGUUCCCUCCGAAGUUUCCCUCAGGAUAGCUGGCGCUCGUAGCGCACGAGUCUCAUCCGGUAAAGCGAAUGAUUAGAGGCAUUGGGGUCGAAACGACCUCAACCUAUUCUCAAACUUUAAAUGGGUGAGAUCUCCGGCUUGCUCGAACUCAUGAAGCCGCGAGACACGGAUCAGAGUGCCAAGUGGGCCAUUUUUG